GUCUAUGACCAUACCACCCUGAACGUGCCUGAUCUCCUCUGAUCUUGGAAGCUAAGCAAGGUCGGCCCUGGUUAGUACUUGAAUGGGAGAAAAUGUACUUUUCUAUCCU
rnacentral:rRNA from 2 species